ensembl:lncRNA
CUCCUGGGUUACUUCAAUUUCCCACCGAGCUUUCAUGACCAAUGCCUUGACUGUUGAUUCAAAACUCGUGUUGACUGAAGGGUGCACUCAAUCCCACCAUUGGUGUCAUUGAUGAAGAUGUUAAAGAGCACCGGUCCAAGUAAUGACCCUUGUGGGACACCACUUGUCACCAAUCUCCGUCUGGACAUUGAGCCAUUGGCCACCACUCUCUGGUUACGAUCUCAUGACCAGUUUCUCAUCCAUCAAAGAGUUUACCCAUCAAAUCCAUAUAUUUCCAAUUAGGAGAGAAGGAUGUUGUGUGUGACCAUGUCAAAGACCCUACCGAAUCCAGGACGGAACCAGAAAGGAGAAAAGAGAAUCAACAUCAAAAUUCUCAAGAAAAGUAGGCAGAAUACCUAUUUUCCUUGUAAGAUUUGUCAUGU